CUCUCGGUGAUGAGGACCUUCUCACAGACCUGUACUGAGCAUUGUGAGGACAGUUUGACUCUGAGGAC
rnacentral:snoRNA from 1 species